UACGUAGGUGGCUAGCGUUGUCCGGAUUUACUGGGCGUAAAGCGCGCGCAGGCGGUCGUUCAAGUCGAGUGUGAAAGCCCCCCGGCUCAACUGGGGAGGGUCACUCGAUACUGAUCGACUUGAAGGCAGAAGAGGGAAGCGGAAUUCCCGGUGUAGUGGUGAAAUGCGUAGAUAUCGGGAGGGAACACCAGUGGCGAAGGACGGGCCU
rnacentral:rRNA from 1 species